GACGAACGCUGGCGGCGUGCUUAACACAUGCAAGUCGAACGGAAAGGCCCUGCUUUUGUGGGGUGCUCGAGUGGCGAACGGGUGAGUAACACGUGAGUAACCUGCCCUUGACUUUGGGAUAACUUCAGGAAACUGGGGCUAAUACCGGAUAGGAGCUCCUGCUGCAUGGUGGGGGUUGGAAAGUUUCGGCGGUUGGGGAUGGACUCGCGGCUUAUCAGCUUGUUGGUGGGGUAGUGGCUUACCAAGGCUUUGACGGGUAGCCGGCCUGGGAGGGUGACCGGCCACAUUGGGACUGAGAUACGGCCCAGACUCCUACGGGAGGCAGCAGUGGGGAAUAUUGCACAAUGGGCGGAAGCCUGAUGCAGCAACGCCGCGUGCGGGAUGACGGCCUUCGGGUUGUAAACCGCUUUCGCCCGUGACGAAGAGUGAGUGACGGUAAUGGGUAAAGAAGCACCGGCUAACUACGUG
rnacentral:rRNA from 1 species